rnacentral:rRNA from 1 species
GGUCCGAGUUGUAAUUUGCAGAGGAUGCUUCGGGUGCGGUCCCCGUCUAAGUGCCCUGGAACGGGCCGUCAUAGAGGGUGAGAAUCCCGUCUGGGAUGGGCGGCCGCGCCCGUGUGAAGCUCCUUCGACGAGUCCAGUUGUUUGGGAAUGCAGCUCUAAGCGGGUGGUAAAUUUCAUCUAAAGCUAAAUACUGGCCGGAGACCGAUAGCGCACAAGUAGAGUGAUCGAAAGAUGAAAAGCACUUUGAAAAGAGAGUUAAACAGCACGUGAAAUUGUUGAAAGGGAAGCGUUGUCCACCAGACUCGCCCGGGGGGGUUCAGCCGGCACGUGUGCCGGUGUACUCCUCUCCGGGCGGGCCAGCAUCGGUUUGGGCGGCUGGUGAAAGGCCCCGGGAAUGUAACACCCUCCGGGGUGCCUUAUAGCCCGGGGUGCCNUACANCCAGCCUGGACCGAGGCCCGCGCUUCNGCGAGGAUGCUGGCGUAAUGGUGGUCAACGG